UGUCCAUUAUUGUAAAAUAAUGGUAAAAUAAAACUGACGCAGCGUCAGAAGUCAGCUGGAGCAUAGUAGUCCUCUCGGGGAUGAAGGUC
rfam:Candidatus Vogelbacteria bacterium RIFOXYD2_FTLL_44_9 rifoxyd2_full_scaffold_2066, whole genome shotgun sequence.